ACCUGCUUACAUUUAGUAUAGUGGUUAGUACUCCACGUUGUGGCCGUGGCGACAUUGGUUCGAUGCCUGCAGCAGGAA
rnacentral:tRNA from 1 species